rnacentral:siRNA from 1 species
AGGCACAAACCUGUUUAGUGGG